GUGAAUCAUCGAAUUUUUGAACGCAAAUUGCACUCACCUCGGAGAGUAUGCCUGUUUGAGGGUCAGCCUAUAAAAAAUCGACAUCGUUGCUGUUUCGCGGUGGCGUUCGUCGGAAAUUGGGUCAUCUUAAAUCCUUUUGAUUUAAGCGACUUAAAAUUUUCUUUUUGUUCCAUGAACGUUUCUAAGAUUUAUUUCUUUACACGUUUAAGGUUAUCGAUUUUUAUUAGAUGUUACCAUCAGAUCGGUUCGCGUUCAUAAUCUAUAUUU
rnacentral:misc_RNA from 1 species